UCAUACCCUGUUAAAACAUUUCCUCUGUUGUUAGAUUCAAAAGUAUAGCGACGAGACAAAGAUAGACGCUCCUUUCACAUGACAGAUAAUCUGACUUUUUUUUUUACAUUUUGGACAGUAUUGUGUGUUUUUUACGCUAGAUAUAAUGUUAAAAAGUGGAUUACUCAUUUUUUCCAAAGAAAAAAAAAUCAUCGGUGUCUUCACAGACCGAAGAGAGGACAGAUCUUACAAACGGCAGCUGCAUGGAAGUCCAAGGUCAAGGUAAUGACAUCUGGGUGUUUACUGUGCUGACUGGCUGAGACUUGCUGCAGGCUGAAUGAGUACCUGAGGGGUGGCUGGAUGGCGCGGCAGGGCGGUUUACGAGGAGGGAUGGUAAACAGACAGCAGCGAGGGCCAAAACCAAGGUCUUGCCCUUUGGAUCGAGCAAGUCUAAAGCCGGAGGAAAAAGCCAGCCAAGCAGGAAGCAAAUGC
rnacentral:lncRNA from 1 species